GUGCCAGCAGCCGCGGUAAUACGUAGGUGGCAAGCGUUAUCCGGAAUUAUUGGGCGUAAGGCGCGCGUAGGCGGUUUUUUAAGUCUGAUGUGAAAGCCCACGGCUCAACCGUGGAGGGUCAUUGGAAACUGGAAAACUUGAGUGCAGAAGAGGAAAGUGGAAUUCCAUGUGUAGCGGUGAAAUGCGCAGAGAUAUGGAGGAACACCAGUGGCGAAGGCGACUUUCUGGUCUGUAACUGACGCUGAUGUGCGAAAGCGUGGGGAUCAA
rnacentral:rRNA from 1 species